rnacentral:rRNA from 1 species
GACGAACGCUGGCGGCGUGCCUAAUACAUGCAAGUAGGACGCAGUUGCGAACGGGAGAGUAACGCGUAGGUAACUACCUAUUAGAGGGGGAUAACUAUUGGAAACGAUAGCUAAUACCGCAUACUAGUAGAUGGACCUGCGUUGUAUUAGCUAGUAGGUAGGGUAAUGGCCUACCUAGGCAACGAUACAUAGCCGACUUGGGAGGGUUGUCGGCGACACGGGGAAUGUGUCCCGGCCCAGACUCCUACGGGAGGCAGGAGUGGGGAAUCUGCGGCAAUUGGGGGAACCCUGACCGAGCAACGGCGCGUGAGUGAAGAGGGUUUUCUGAUCGUAAAGCUCUGCUGUUAAGGAAGCGGUACUUAACCAGAAAGGGACGGCUAACUACGUGCCAGCAGCCGCGGUAAUAC